CACAUAUGUUUUUGCUGUGCUCGGCUGAAAUGAAACAAGCAUUGAAGAACAUGCAGCGGUAUGACAAUCUGGCAUCAUCUACUUCAACAUAUAUUCUCCAUUGAAUUCUGAGUCAUGAGUCUGUUCAUUGAUGAAAAGGCAAAGGUCAAAGUUCACAUAUGGGAUCCAAGGGAACUGAGAGAGACAAGCAAGGAAAA